CCCAGUCACAAAAAAAAAACCUAAAAGUUACCCGCACCGUCAUCAUCCUCAAACAACAUCUCCAUCUUCAUCAUUCAUGGUUCAUCACCCAUGCCUUUCCUCUAACCCAAUGACCUUCGUCCUCAUGCUUUCAUCAUCCGAGACUGUUCAUUGCCUUCAUCGCCUUCAUCCUCAUCUGUCGAACCCUCGUUCAUCUGUCGAACCCUAAAUCUAAAAUCACCCUCCCCUCACUGGAACCCUAACUCCCUAAGUCUCUUCUCUCGCUCUCUUAUCUGCAUUUUAGUUUUCUCUUCCGUCACUCUCUUCUCUCCCUCGCACACGCCAGAACCGCUGUCGCACAGAAUCCCCUUCGCACACGCCAUCGCAAACUCGCACGUCUCGCGGUCUCGGUCCAAGGCGUGUUCACCUCGUCGUGUCGUCUCCGUCCCGUGAACGUCUGCGUCCUACUCUCCCGUCCUGUGAGCGUCGCUGUCCUCCCCGUCCCGUGAAUGUUGCUGCCCUCCCCGUCCCGUGAAUGCCGCUGUCGUUCUUCCUGAUUCCUGGGUUUUGCCACCAUCAACAGUGCUAACAUUUCCUUCAUUUGGAACGUUGAAGCAUCUGGAGCUUGGCUUAGUUGUUGGUGAAAUUUUGUUAGUCAUACUUCUCAAGUCACCAAUUCUCAAGACUUUAAUUUUAAAGAAUAUUACAAGGUUGCUGUUAGUACUGCAAUCGAAAUUACGGUUAUGGGAUUCAUUGGCUUCUUCGUCAAACUCAUCUUCAUUCCCAUUAACAACAUCAUCGUCGGAUCUGGUUAGGAUGAUGAGAGCUACAACCACACACAGUUUUUUAAAGCAAAUGGUAGUAGGAGUUCUUCCCACAUCAAUUUUUUGUUAAUUAUAGUUCUGCUGUAUAUCACUUUUUGUUUUUCCAUGCUUUAUAUCUUUGGGAACAUUACAGUUUUAAUUUAAAUUAUUAUUAUAGCAUGUAAAUCAAUAAAAAAUCAAUUCUUAUCCCUUCUAAUUUUCUCUUUUUAAUUAUUAUUAUAGAAUUGUAAUUUUUUAAUUAUUAUUAUGCAUUCUAAUUUUCUCCUUUUUUUUAAAUUGACAAAGGAAUAGGCCACGCUUUGAAAAGGUUUUAGUAGGAAAGCCACGCUUUUUAAACAUGGUUGUUUGUGCUCUAUCGGCAUGCUUUCAAAGCGUAGCCAAAACCAACUCUUGGCACGCUUCAAAAGCGUGGAGAUAUGUGAACUAUUCGGUACGCUUUAAAAGCGUACUGAUAGAUUAACACAUGAUCACGUUUUUAAGCGUGGCAAGAGUUGAAAGCGUGGCCAAAUAGAAAGCGUGCCGAUAGAUUUGUAAAAGCAUGGCGAUAGAGCAACCGGCAUGCUUGCGGAUGUGACCCUUUCAAAAGCGUGCCGAUAGCUCAAAAAGCGUGGCGAGAAGCUAUCGGCACGCUUUUUUCCACAUUUUUGCAGGCUUUUAAAGCGUGGCAGAAAACU